rnacentral:lncRNA from 1 species
CAAUUUGAUUUUAGUGUUCCAAGUGGCUGCCAAGUGACCCAAAAACCAUUUUGCAUUUCUUCUUUUUUAGAUAAUGCUGGAGAGCCCACUAAGAAACCUGGCAAUUGGUGUUAGCUUCAGCCUCAGAUCUCAUGGAAAACCCAUCCCACAUAGUACAUGGAAAGCACCAUCAUUACCUCUUAAGAAAUAAGCUGGUGUGGAUGUGCAAGCCAUGGAUGGUGCUGAAGCCGGGAAGAAAACCUGAUCUGAGCCAACACAGAGACAGAUGUGGUUGGAAGGGUAGGACCAAUGCAGAGAGUAGGUGCGAAUCCCUAUGGAAAGCGGGAAUGCAAGAAACAUUUAAGAGCUUUGCCUCACCUUACUGUUAAUAGGGGUUACCUCUGGGGAGUGGCUUGGAGUUGAAGGGGAAAGCGCACUUUGACUUUUUAUUGUAUUUUUCUUCCUUGUAAUUAAAAUUUUUUACAACAAACGUGAUUUACAACAUAAGAUUAACAACAUAAUGAUGAACUAGUUUGCUUUAGCAAGUGUGGGUAUCACUAUUUAAAUGAGAAAAAGAUCAGGAAGAGAAUCAAGAAGCAGAAAAGAGAAACAGGAGAGAAAGGGAACAAAGGGUGGGGGGAAGGACCCACCACCAAAACAGCAUCUGCGGAAGGAAGUAAAUACAUUAUCACUUCAGAUUUUUGGAAAACUAGUUGUAGAAGUUUUUGUAGCACAGGAUAACUAAUAAAGACUGUGUCCUUGAUUUUGUACUUGCCA